rnacentral:rRNA from 1 species
CAGUAGCCGCGGGAAUACGAAGGGGGCUAGCGUUGUUCGGAAUUACUGGGCGUAAAGGGCGCGUAGGCGGCCAUUCAAGUUAGAUGUGAAAGCCCUGGGCUCAACCUAGGAAUUGCAUUUGAUACUGUUUGGCUUGAGUUCGGGAGAGGUGAGUGGAAUUCCCAGUGUAGAGGUGAAAUUCGUAGAUAUUGGGAAGAACACCAGUGGCGAAGGCGGCUCACUGGACCGACACUGACGCUGAGGCGCGAAAGCGUGGGGAGCAAACAGGAUUAGAUACCCCCGUAGUCCCUGUCUCUUAUAC